UACGUAGGUGGCAAGCGUUGUCCGGAUUUAUUGGGUUUAAAGGGUGCGUAGGCGGCCCAUUAAGUCAGCGGUGAAAGCCCGGGGCUCAACCCCGGAACCGCCGUUGAUACUGGUGGGCUUGAGUACAGACGAGGCAGGCGGAAUUGAGGGUGUAGCGGUGAAAUGCUUAGAUACCCUCAAGAACACCGAUUGCGUAGGCAGCUUGCUAGGCUGUGACUGACGCUGAGGCACGAAAGCGUGGGGAGCGAACAGG
rnacentral:rRNA from 1 species